UCUACAACAGUUUUUGUGUAAAACCAACUUCGAUGGAGACCCAAAAUUCGCGGCCCCGCUCUUAAUUCAUGCGCGCUGUUCAGUCUCCCAACCACAACCCUCGUUCUCUCUCUCAGUUCUAGAAAGCUCUCAACCUAAGUCUCAACGACGAAGUCGAUUUCGGCAAGCACAACCUCAACGACGACAAGUUUCAAGAUUUUUCUGGUUAAUGUUGGGUGAGCUUUCUGGCUGGUGAUGAACUCGAAGCCGCUUUUUCCUGUUUCUCCAUUUGCUUGCCAGAUCCAAAUAGAACGAUUUAUUGGGAGAAACGGGCCACACACGGUCCAUCUUUUCUUGUCUCCCACGCAUUUCUAAUUGGUAACUUGGCGUUCUAGUAUUAAGAUCAAUCGAGUUGACUGAAUUUCAUUAUCCCAAGCCUCAAAUAUUUCAAAAGAUGCGAGUUGAUCUGGCUUCUAUGUGGAGUCCUACUAGCAGAACAGGAAACUUGAGGAGAUUCUCUGUAAAAGGCAACUUGAUACCUUUGAACGAGAAUGCUUCAAAUUCUUUCUACAAUGAAUCCUUGACAUUCAAUGAGGACGUAAGUAUGAAGGAUCUUUUGGAAGUUGUAGUACCAUUUGAUAUAUUGUUGGAUCGGAGAAAACAUGAUAACUAUCUCAAUAGUAUUGGGAAUAAUCUAGAGACAUGCACGAAAUCAAAGGUUGUUCAUGAUGCUAGGUUAACUUUGGCAUCAUUGGUAAUUUGUGAGGAAGCACUUGAGUGAGAAUUGAUUAUAUCAGCUUCAACUGUCAACUGCUGAAUACUAUAAUGCUAUGGUGUAAUCAAUUUUAUAGUUCUUAAAGGUUUCUUGUGUUUUUGCAGUUAUGUUCCGAGAAUGGAAAUUACAUUAUCAAGCCGAUUAAAAAGCCUAUAUAGUUUAUACAGCAAGAAACCUGGUGGAAUCAUUGCUCUGCUUGAUGAAGCUUGGGUCCAACCAUCAUCUGUCAAAGUUUCUUCAACAGUUUGAGUCAAUUUCUAAAACUAAGGACCAAUGGAAUGUAGGAGCAUAAUGAUUUGAGGUCAAAUCCUUCUCAAGAAGGAGGGGAUGAUGGAAGACCAUCCUUGGAACUUCAUGUGGGACCCAUCAAAUGGUCCAUAGCUAGGAGAAUGGAGGAAGAUGAAGGAGAUA